GAAUAGCUGGGCUGUUCACUCCUGGUGACACCAGCGCGGCCCCCUCCGCGCCCGCCGUGCCGGCCGCCGCGCCAACCGGGACCGGGGGAGGGUAGGACACCUGCCGGGAGCGAGUCCCGGGCUGACUCCCCAAGGCCGCGCGGGGUGUGGAGAGGAGCCGGGGUGGGGCCUCUCGCCUCCGGCGUCCGCCGGGUGGGCGGCCCCGACCGCUCUGCUGUCCCUUACGGCCCGCACGCCCUUUGCCCUCCCCGGGGACCUGGCAUCUUCACAUCUCCUGCCCCGCCUGGGCCGCAGCUUCGAGACCGCUGAGCCCUCCUCCUCCUUUUUCUCCUCCUCCUCUUCCUCCUCCUCGGACUUCACCUCCACCAGGGACUUCCGCCCUGGGGCCCGGCCGCGCGCUCUUCCCCACUGAGUGCGUCUUCCGCCCCCGAGGCCCCGCGGCUGCCCCCGCCGAUUCUCGCGCCGACCUCACGCGGCGAGGCUGAGUGUUAUUUUUAUUGUUUUUAUUUUUGCGAUGGAGUUUCGCUUUUGUUGCCCAGGCUGGAGGGAAGUGGCGCGAUCUCGGCUCACUGCAACCUCUCCCUCCCGAGUUCAAGCGAUUCUCUUGCCUCAGCCUGCCGAGUAGCUGGGAAUUACAGGCAUGCGCCACCACGCCCGGCUAAUUUUGUAUUUUUAGUAGAAACGGGGUUUCUCCAUAUUGGUCAGGCUGGUCUCGAACUCCUCACCUCAGGUGAUCUGCCCACCUCGGCCUCCCAAAGUGCUGGGAUUACAGGCGUGAGCCACCGUGCCUGGCCGAGGCUGGGUGUUAUUUAUGUCCCCGUCUGUGUCUCCGCAGACAGAGCUCGGCCUAGAGGAGGCCGCGGCCCAGCGGCACACAGCCGGCGCGCAAGUGCGAGGCCAAGGCAGGAAGCCGCCGGCCCAGCCGCCUGCUUCCCAGGACCGAGGAGGCCCCUGGUCGAGGCUGGCUCACCUCACCCUUGGGAAAGCAACAGAGGACAGGAGGCAGCUGCCACCUAAGGUCAUGGCCACCCACAUCCCACCACACCGCGUUUGCUCUCCCUGUUUCCCCAGGUUAGGACAUCAUCGGGCGCUUCCAUGUCGCCCCGGGAGGCUCCCCUAAAGCAAGGGCAUGGCCACGGGGAGGCUGCUGAGCAAAGCUAAUUCCGGAGUUCCACACCAGGCCUCUUGAGAGUGGGGCCUGGGCCUCUGCAUUUGAAAUGUGCUCUACCUUCAAGGCUUUGAGAUGAUUUGAGAACAGGGAGGGUUUUAGGGAAGAGAGCUAGCUGACAGCAGGCGAUGGCAGGUGCAGGUGGGGACUGCGGCAGACUGGAUUUGAUGGGGCAGGCUGGAAAGACAGGGCAGACGAGGAUGGACUGGGAGCCUUGGUCAGAGAAUGGCCGGAUCAUGACCUUGGAGCACCAUGCCCACCCGUACAGGUAUCCCUUACUGCCUGCUAAGGGAUACAUUGGACCCUGUCCUCCAGCAACCCUGCAAAAUGGGCCUUAUUGUCCCUAUUUUAAAGGCUCAGAGAGUGAGGCCGGGCGCAGUGGCUCACACCUGUAAUCCCAGCACUCUGGAGGCCGAGGCAGGCAGAUUGUUUUGAGUCCAGGAGCUCAAGACCAGCCUGGCCAACAUAACAAAACCCCGCCUCUACUAAAAAUACAAAAAAUUAGCCGGGCAUGGUGGCACGUGCCUGUAGUCCCAGCUACUCGGGAGGCUGAGGCAGGAGAAUCACCUGAACCCAGGAGGUGGAGGCUGCAGUAAGCCGAGAUUGCACCACUGCACUCCAGCCUGGACAACCAGAGUGAGACCCUGCCUCAAAAUAAUAAUAAUAAAUAAAUAAAAAUCAAGGCUCAGAGAGGGGAUGUGACUUGGACAAAGUCCCUGGUGAGGAGGGUACAGAAGAAUCAGGACUCAGUUUAAUUCCUCCAUCCAGGCCCUAGCUAGACACUAGGCAUGGAAAGAUGAAUAAAGUACACUUCCUGCCCUAAAAGAGUUGUUGGUACAGGAAGAGGGGCAGGCAGCAAACAUAUCACAAUCGCAAUCACAAUCCUCAUGGAGGUCUGAUGGAGCAGUGAGGGCUCAGAGCUGAAUUUUGAAGGAUGAAGAGGAGUUACCCCGGAAGAUUCGGGAGGGGCAUCCCCGGCAGAGGGAACAGCUUGUUCCGCUGCUCAGAGGCCUGAAAUAGCAAUCGCUUGUAGGGAUCUGUGAGCUCUUUGGUGAGACUGAGCUUAGAGUGUGUUGGUUUGGUGGGAGAUGAGGCUUGAUGUGCCCAGAGAGCGUUGGCCAGGCAAGGAGGCUGGAUUUUGUCCACAGUGCAGUAAGAGUGUGAGCCCUGUGGAGGAGGGGUGAGCAGUAGGAGGGACCUGAAGGAGAAGAGCAGAGGCACAGGGCUCCCUCCUGCCCCUUCCCUGUAUCUCCAUGGCAACCCCUCUUUCCCCCACCCUGACUCUACCUUAGCUGUGGACCUGGCUCUCUAUCAGCAGCUAAACUGGGGACUGUCAGGAGAGACCAGACCCCAUUCUAGCUGGGCAUGAUGUGCUUGCUGUGUGGCCUGCAGCAGGCCACUUUGUCCCCUUGGGUCUUGGUUUUCUCUUCUGUAAAAUGGGAGCAGCACUAAUCCCUGCCCAGUCCCUCUGCGGGGUGAGUGAGGCGCAGAGGUGAUGGCCAGGUGGGAGGGGCUUGUCUGCUGCACAGCCCCUGUCAGCACCUUGCUAGGCAUUGGCUCAAUUGGUGCAUCCCCCAACCCCCAUCCGGUCAAGCCUUCUCCCCAGUGAUCCUCCCGACCAUGCCCACCAGACUUUAGGAGAGGCU
rnacentral:lncRNA from 1 species